CUCGGUACCGGAGAUACAAGGCCAGGAUGCCAAGCCACCUGUCGAGGCACAAGGAGCGUCAGAGGUCCACCCAAGGAGCUGCUUUGCCGAACGCGAUAGAAAGAAAUCAAAGGAGUGGGUUGUUCCCGUAAACGGGGAAACGGAUACGCACACACUGUAACCUCCUGUGUCUCAUACAAAAGGCCCAGCGGGGAGACAGCAAACCUGCAGAGGCACCGAUGGUGAACACUGGUGAACGUGAAAGGAGACGCACUGUGGACUCACCAACGUUCUGCCGUUCAGUGCACCACAACGCAAGGUGGCACUGAGCGACUGCCACUGGGGCUAUCGCGGCAGAGGGCACCGCCCGCCGGGCAAGAACACGGUGUUAGGAUUCAAGCCCAAGGAUUCCAGUCCCAGUGGAAACGGACGGGGUCACUUCCCAUGCUUUUGUCAGUUCUGUGACAGGAUGACCCCGUGUCUAGAAAAGGUGGGAACUGAACUCCGAAAGGCUUAGCUUUGAAAACUAUAAAACUAUGCAGGAGCAGGUCCCAACGUUUUGUGUUUUUCUUUCUUUCCCCUCGAGAAUCUACGUUUUUUAAAAAAUACCAACGGUAUUAUUACUAUUCCUUGCUCAGACCCUCUGAGAACAGCCCUCAGGGCCCCGAUCCACUUCCUCCCGAUCCCACGCAGGAAAGAUGAGGGAGGCUCCGCCAAGCCUGUCUGCUGGCGGCGGAACGCGGGCGGCCACGGGGCUCAGGGAGGCGCUGAGCCGUGCAAUUGCGCAUCUCGCGGGGCAGGUGCGCCUCGAGGUGCUGGGCGUGCCCGCGCGGCGUGCGGGGAGGAUGCAGGGUGCAGGCGGCCCCCUCGGGCCGAGGAAGCAGAGCCCCAGGCCAUGGCUUUCGGGAGGCGAGGGCGUCCCGGCGGCUCUCGGCCAGGGCUCGCGCCGCAGGGGCCGGGGGGCUGGGGGGCUGCAGGUGCCCCGCAGUGCCAGUGCCCACCUGGCGCCCCGGCACGCCUAUCUCCUCCGUCCGCAGUUUGGCGGCUGUAAAAUGGGGGGAAUAACAGCACCACCCUCCGCGGGCGGUGGAGAGGACUAGACCAGGGAACACACGGCACGCCCUGGGCACCGGGGACCUGCCGACACGGACACGGCUUCUCCUCCCGGACGGCGCGCCAGCCCCGACCCCCGCCCGCCCUCUCCCUCCGCGGCGGAGCCCGGCGCCCUCACCACAGCACCCGCAGGAACAGCUCGAACAGCCCCGGGAAGAACAAGUCGUCGCUGGCGAUGGCCCAGCGCCGGCCGAAGAGCACCAUGCCGGCCAUGGCGAAGGUCGCGCCGCCCGGCCCCGGACAGCCCGCCGUGCGCCGGUCACCACUCUGUGCCCCACGCCCUCCCGGUUUCACAACUAAACUGACCGCGACUCGGCGCAGGCGCACGGGAGCCAGGCCGGGCGCAUGCGCACGGGGAGGCCGAGCCUGGCGCGCGCGGGCGGGGGGCCUCUGCGCCUGCGCAGUGCGCUGAUCCGGAAGACGCCGGCCGACUCCAGGGCAGGUGUGCUGGCGGGUGAAGUCCGUCCUGCUCAUACUUUCUAGCGACCCUGUCGCACCGUCAGACGGAGCCCAUCCUCCGCUUGGAUCCUGCAGGUCUUCGCUUUGUGUGUUAAACGGGCGCCGACCCCCAGCCCGAGGCCUUUCCCUGGUAUCGCACAUCACACGUCUGUGAGUGUUUACCGUCUCCCCUCUCCCCGAGGUGGGGUUACUCCUCUCUCCCGCCAUCACCCCACUACCUGCCUCCUGGUAUCCCUCCCUGAAACUCGUUCUUGCCCGAGGGCUUCGUACAUUCUCUGUCUCCUCUGCCUGGGAUGCUCCUCCCGCAGGCAUUUCCAUGUCACUCACUUCGUUCAGGCUCCUGUCGCUGCCUCAGACAGACCUCCCCGCCUCCCUCUCUCAACAGCACACCCAGGUCCCAUUCCCUCCCCACGCCUCGGCUUUCUUCAUAGCACUUUGCACUCCCUGUCUUUCAUGUUUAUUCCCUCCCUCCUCCCACCCUCCAGUGUCAGUGGUAUGAGCAUGGGCACCCUGUCCAUUGCUCUUCACAUAAUGGAACACAUUGAAUAUUCCAUGACUGAAUAAACAGACUUAUUAAAGCUUU